GAUGAACGCUGGCGGCGUGCCUAAUACAUGCAAGUCGAGCGAACAGACGAGGAGCUUGCUCCUCUGACGUUAGCGGCGGACGGGUGAGUAACACGUGGAUAACCUACCUAUAAGACUGGGAUAACUUCGGGAAACCGGAGCUAAUACCGGAUAAUAUAUUGAACCGCAUGGUUCAAUAGUGAAAGACGGUUUUGCUGUCACUUAUAGAUGGAUCCGCGCCGCAUUAGCUAGUUGGUAAGGUAACGGCUUACCAAGGCAACGAUGCUUAGCCGACCUGAGAGGGUGGGCGCCCGCACUGAGCCUAGACCAGGGUCAAGACGACUGCGAGAGGCGGAAGAGGGAAACUUUCCACAAGGGCAGAAGGUUGGAGGGAGCACGGCCGAGUGAGUGAUGAAGGUGUUCGGAUCUUAAAACUGUUUUAUUAGGUAAAAAAAAAUGUAUAAGAAACUAUGCGCGUCUUGAGGUUACCUAAUAGAAAAGCCACGGCAAACUAGGUG
rnacentral:rRNA from 1 species